rnacentral:sRNA from 1 species
CCCUAGCCCAGAUAGUAGCGGCAUCCUUUUUGUUUUUUCUUUAAAAACAAAAAGAUAUAGCGGAUAGCUGGAAGUAGC